GAUCCAUACUGAAACCUAGUGAUGUAUGGAUUAGUGGCGGACGGGUGAGUAACGCGUGGAUAACCUGCCGUAUACAGGGGGAUAACACUUAGAAAUAGGUGCUAAUACCGCAUAAGCGCACGGUUCCGCAUGGAACAGUGUGAAAAACUCCGGUGGUAUACGAUGGAUCCGCGUCUGAUUAGCCAGUUGGUGGGGUAACGGCCCACCAAAGCGACGAUCAGUAGCCGGCCUGAGAGGGUGAACGGCCACAUUGGGACUGAGACACGGCCCAAACUCCUACGGGAGGCAGCAGUGGGGAAUAUUGCACAAUGGGGGAAACCCUGAUGCAGCGACGCCGCGUGAGUGAAGAAGUAUUUCGGUACGUAAAGCUCUAUCAGCAGGGAAGAAAAAAAGUCCUUUGGACUUUGGACGGUACCUGACCAAGAAGCCCCGGCUAACUACGUGCCAGCAGCCGCGGUAAUACGUAGGGGGCAAGCGUUAUCCGGAUUUACUGGGUGUAAAGGGAGCGUAGACGGCAGCGCAAGUCUGGAGUGAAAUGCCGGGGCCCAACCCCGGAACUGCUUUGGAAACUGUGCAGCUCGAGUGCAGGAGAGGUAAGCGGAAUUCCUAGUGUAGCGGUGAAAUGCGUAGAUAUUAGGAGGAACACCAGUGGCGAAGGCGGCUUACUGGACUGUAACUGACGUUGAGGCUCGAAAGCGUGGGGAGCAAACAGGAUUAGAUACCCUGGUAGUCCACGCCGUAAACGAUGAUUACUAGGUGUCGGGGGGCCAAGGCCCUCCGGUGCCGGCGCAAACGCAUUAAGUAGU
rnacentral:rRNA from 1 species